UUUCCGUAGGUGAACCUGCGGAAGGAUCAUUGAAUCGAUCACUACCCACACCGGUCAUUAUGUUGUCCCCCUCUGUCGGCCGCUCGAUCUGAGCGGAUGGCAGAGCGCUCAGGGGAAGAGUGUACUCUCCUCUCCUGAGCGGGUCGCGAGGUCACCCUCCCGGCCGGCCCUGUCCAACCCAACCCACCCCAAAUCAAAACCACUCUGAAGCAACAGUGGGCAGCCCCAGCGGCCCCACGCCAAAACCAAUGACAACUCUCAACAACGGAUAUCUUGGCUCCC
rnacentral:misc_RNA from 1 species